GAUCCUGGCUCAGGAUGAACGCUAGCGACAGGCUUAACACAUGCAAGUCGAGGGGCAGCACGGGAGUAGCAAUACUUGGUGGCGACCGGCGCGACGGGUGAGUAACGCGUAUGCAACCUACCUAUCAGAGGGGAAUAACCCGGCGAAAGUCGGACUAAUACCGCAUAAAACAGGGGCACCGCAUGGUGAUAUUUGUUAAAGAAAUUCGCUGAUAGAUGGGCAUGCGUUCCAUUAGGUAGUUGGUGAGGUAACGGCUCACCAAGCCGACGAUGGAUAGGGGAACUGAGAGGUUGGUCCCCCACACUGGUACUGAGACACGGACCAGACUCCUACGGGAGGCAGCAGUGAGGAAUAUUGGUCAAUGGGCGGGAGCCUGAACCAGCCAAGUCGCGUGAAGGAAGAAGGAUCUAUGGUUCGUAAACUUCUUUUGCAGGGGAAUAAAGUGCAGGACGUGUCCUGUUUUGUAUGUACCCUGAGAAUAAGGAUCGGCUAACUCCGUGCCAGCCGCCGC
rnacentral:rRNA from 1 species